UGGCGACACGCACGGCUGUUCUCUGAGCGCCCCGACACAGAGCGUGGUUGGCACGGCCCAGCGUAACUUUGCGCUCUGGCUCUUUGCUGGAUCAGCAAGCUUUACCUAGCGAAAUCUGCUGCUAGCGCUAUGGGCUUUGACUGAUAAUCAAUCUUGCGUGCCUGCUCGACAGUUGUCACUGGGACAGAGAGGCGGAGCAGGUGGCAGAUGGGGCCUGUCUGCUGAGAGCGGAGACGCUAGGCAUACUUGGUUCCCAAGAAGACAAGUCAAAGGACUCUAGUUUUAUUGACACUUGGAAGUACAAAGAAAGCCAAAUUCUGUAUUCUCAUACCGACGCAGUAGCUUCACAGGACUGUUUCUGUGUCUGCCGAAUAAUCCCAUCUUGGCGGAAUCAAACACAAAGCAACAAGUCACCGCGCAGCUCCCUGUUUGUACAGUAGUAUGCAUUAUUUAUGAGGCAGCCUGUGCUGUGUGCAUCCAAAAUCAAAUAAGCCUUCUUGUAUUACAGCACUGUUCUGUUAACCCUCCACCCACCCUGUCACCCACCCCAUUGCCAGUCAGCGGCAUGCGCGUUUGAGUGGAUUUGUAAAGAGUAAAGGAUAUAAAUAUGUUGGGAAAAGACCCACACAUCCCAUGCAAUUUGGGUCCCAUUGGAGUUCAGGGAGCGUGUGAUCGGCGGAGUGCCUCUGAAUGUCCUCCUUUAGGGCCCAUGCUGCUUGGAGGCUGGGCCCCAACAUGUCUUUCCCCCCUUCUCUCUAUCUACACAGCAAACCUCCUUCACUCUCAAUUUAACCCGAAAUCUGAUGAACCCGUCUCCCCCACGCACGCACACACAGACACUAACUCCGGAUUUCAUGGAAGAAAGAGUAGAUACAGUUGCGAGUUGAUCAAUCAGCAGGCGUGAACUGAGGCAGAAAGGCAUUAACAAUUCACAUCGUUCUCAGUCCACUCGCCCAAGCAGAAGAUUCCGGCAGCAUAUCUAAUGCACAGCUACCUCACUUUAUAUAAGGGCAGGCAUGACUCACAAGCUAUUCUGUAAAAGUCUGCAUUGAUUUAGGGGGUGGGAAAGGAUGAGGAACUCUCAAUUGCCUUGCCACUAUCCAUAUUAGCGUUGCACCUUAUCCAGGCAAUUAAAACAUCGCUCCAGAUCUUGAAAGUACCCGUCUUCUCAGUUGUGUCAGCCUCUUUUGAACAUUUUUUUUUGCAUAGGCCAUGGUGAAGAUGUCCCAUUAAGGUUCCAGGGUGCAAAAUCACCACGUGGAGACUUUUGGUGGCAACCCCCCUUAGGUAAGCGCUGUCAGUUUAAUGGGAUCACUGGAGAGCAAAGCAUCUGUGAGAGAUUUCUUCGCUUAAAGUUCGUCAGUGGUACACUUGUCACUCUCUUCUGUACCGUGCUGAGACAAAUUCAGAUAGGCAUCGAUAUUUAGGAUAAGAAGGGUUUAAAUCAGGCCCUGAGGGACAGAGCAAGCCUCGCCAGCCAGGCCAAGUGUCGACACUUGGGGUGUAGAAUCCAAAACACUGGGAGUUAGAUAGAGUCCUCUUUAAACAACUUGUCCACAAUUGAUAGUAGCACACAUCUAUUGUGCUGUAACACUAGUGGUUCUACAAUCUGCAUCUCAUUUACAGCAGCGGCUUAUGGCGUUAGGCAUACAGCCAUUGCCUGUCAAAACUUGCAAAUUAAAUCUAUGUGUGACUGAUGAGUGCUGCAAGUCUUCCGUGGAGAGAAACACACACCUCAGUUUUUUGUUUGUUUGUUGUUUUCAUUUUAACACCGACCAAAGCUGUUGUAGAUGAGCUUGGCAGGGCGCUAACUUGGCGGAAACAUGCUCACUUCGCCCUAUGGUUGGUUAGUGUGAAGCACCGUUGUUAAGCAUCAUGGUUCACUGUUACCUUUCGGGGAAUCUACUCAAUAACUUGUGAGGCUGACAUAAUCUUGCUUUUCACUCACAUUUAUUCAUUACCUCUCUCUCCCUUCUCUCUUUCUCCACCUCUCUCUUUUCUUCCUCUCCACUCACCUUUCUUCCUCACCCACUCGGGGUUGACAGAAGGCCCCUUGUUCAGAUGCACACCGGGCUUCACACAGUUUUUCAUUCCCCAACAAUGAAAGGAGCUUUCAGCAAGGCUGGUUCCAAUUCAUCUGUGAUAAAUGAGAAGAUAAGGCAAUCAGAGCACACCAUGACACGGUGUGCAGCUAGUUAGGCACACUUCGAGCCCAUUCAGGUGUGCCUGUGAGUCCUGACGUUGGGGGGGCCCUCUAUAUAUACGUACACAGCCCUGAUGGUGGCCAACACUCGGGCAGGAGCUGGAUGUUGGUUCCUUGGUAAAGCUUCAUUCUGUUGACAGGUCAGGUGUUGCGUCGUUAUGUGGAUCGGUAUGCAUGGAGUACAGGAGCGAGAAGAUGUUCAACCACAUCUCGGUAUUGCACGGACAAUUGAGGAGGUCGGUGUUUUCACUGGAGGCAUCUGUGGAGGCCUCGGAAAUGGGUGUCUAUGUAAGGGGUUCACGAAGGCCCUUUGGAGGGAGUCUCUUGGGAACAACCAGGAACACCUGAGACAGUUUCUCUCACAGACCCCAAAAUCAAGCCAAAAAUGUCGUUGAUAGCAGGCAAGAUGAAGUCCCCUCUUAGGGAUUCGCAGACCUGUCAGGUGUGCCAAACUACUAAUGAGCGAGACUGCGCAUCAAGCCAUCCAUCUGCGGAGGGCCUGCUGAACACCCUCAACCCAGCUGCUCCCUUCUCAUGACCCAGUUCUAGGUCCAUUCUGAGAGUGUAACAUCACAGUUCCUGAAUCUUUCAAGAUGUCAGGGUGAGCACUCAUGACAACAAACAACAACUGGAGGAGAACGAACCUUUCAGGCAACCACUGGUGUCUUAAGCUGCGGUAGAAAUAACAUGUGAGCAUACUGGACAACAGCAAGACCGUCAUGCUGUGCAAUGCCAUUUUCCUGCAGGCUCCUUCUCCUACUGUCUUCAAACACUGCUGGGGUGUGUACAUGUGUGUAUGAACAGAGCACUCUAGUUUAGAUUUGAUCAAAGCUAGCAGGCCUCAUCUUCGCACUGGGACAUCACCAAAUUGCUAGUACUGAGUUUGUCAGCCACAAGUGGCCCAGGAGAGCUACGUACACCAAGCACAGCAAAGACUGGAAUAAAGAAAGUACACAGAAGGUUCAAGAGCCCUUCCUGGAGCUGGAGCUGAGUGACUUCUCCCUAUGCUUAUGAAAAGUCUAUUUCCUCUCUCAGAUGAGUCAUGUGGUCCUCCCAGCUUCUACGGAUAAUCCUUCAGAGGCUGGGGUCACUGGCAGGCUGUAGUUCAACGGGCCCCUGACUAUUUGUUUGAUGAGUGGCCCUUGGCCCCCCUCGGAAAGGGCCUCCGUUUCGAGCUCAGCCCACAACAGUGAUCGAGAGAACUACCACAGCUGGAAAGAAAGGAAUUACCAGACCCGAACGAGGGACAGGACAGCUCUCCGGCAGGACAGGACUCAGUGUUUGCGGGACUCAAUAAGCUGCCAGCCCUAAUCUCGGUUUGAGGUGACCCCUGUCACUGUCUCUUUCCUCUUCACAUCAGCGGCAAAGGGGGAGAAGAUGCUCUCAUCGCAAGAGGAUUAGCCGGGACACGAGGGACCCAGCGUGUAGUAAUAUGCUGACCAGGAUCUUUCUUUGCACUGGCUUAAAGUCACAUAGCAAGUUAUUUUGUCCACUGUGAGAGCAUUAGCAAACAUAUAUGUAGGGCCCUAUAAAAUCUGUUUUAUUGUUUCUGUUUUAAUGGUUAAAUUACAUUUGUGACCCUGGACUACAAAAGCAGUCAUAAGGGUCAGUUUUUUAAAAAUUGAGAUUUAUACAUAAUCUGAAAGCUGAAUAAAGCAAGCUUUUUAUUGGUCUAUGGUCUGUUAGGAUAGGACAAUAUUUGGUAGAGAUACAACUGUUUGAAAAUCUGAAAUCUCAGAGUGCAAAAAAGUCAAAAUAUUAAGAAAAUCGCCUUAGCAAUGCAUCUUACUAAUCAAAAAUUAAGUUUUGAUAAAUCUUUGGUAGGAGAUUUACAAAAUACCUUCAUGGAGCAUGAUCUUUACUUAAUAUCCUAAUGAUUUUUGGCAAAAAUCUAUAAUUUUGACCCAUACAAUGUAUUGUUGGCUAUUGCUACAAAUAUACCCAUGCUGCUUAAGGCUGGUUUUGUAGUCAAGGGUCACAUUUUAUUAAUCAGAAAGCAUGUCUAAUUAAUUGAAACCAUGAAAUGUACAAAAUUUAACAGCAAUGUAUUAAAAGUUUAACAAAAAUAACUUUUUAAGGCCCUAUGAAAUACAUUUUAUUUCAUUUUACCAAAUUCUGUGUUUUCCAGUUUAGUUUCAUUAAAUGUAAUCAUCAAAAACAUUUCUAAUUAAUUGAUUUAAUUAAAAAAAUAAUAAAAAAAAAUAUUUCAGAAAUACUAUGUGUAUUUAUAUUUUUCUGAUAAAUAAAUUCUGGUACAUAUUUUUUUCUGUUAAAAUUAUUAAUUAAGUCAUUAAAUAAAAUAUUUCUGUCACAAUUUCUUCAAGUUAAACCGAACUUUUAUUUCGAUGAGUUGCUGUGAAGACCUUAAAGUUUCUGUUUGCAUAUGAUAUGAUGAUAGUUUUUCUCAAAAGAAAUGGUAAAAUGCUCACAUAGUGAUUCUCAGAGCAGUUUUAGAGAUUAUAUUUAUGUGUUUAUGUACUUACAGUAUAUAUUGAGGCGGCAGAGGCUGAAAA